rfam:Toxoplasma gondii VEG unplaced genomic scaffold scaffold00003_2, whole genome shotgun sequence.
GCCACCUUAGCAUAGUUGGUAGUGCAUUUGAUUCGUAAUCAAAAGGUCGUGGGUUCGAUUCCCACAGGUGGCU